GAUGAACGCUGGCGGUGUGCCUAAUACAUGCAAGUCGUACGCAUUCUCGUUUCUGAUUGACGGUGCUUGCACCUAAUUGACGAGACAUUGGAAUGAGUGGCGGACGGGUGAGUAACACGUGGGUAACCUGCCCAGAAGCGGGGGAUAACAUUUGGAAACAGAUGCUAAUACCGCAUAAAAGUCAAAACCACAUGGUUUUGAUUUAAAAGAUGGCCUUUGUGCUAUCACUUCGGGAUGGACCCGCGGCGUAUUAGCUAGUUGGUAAGGUAAUGGCUUACCAAGGCAAUGAUACGUAGCCGAACUGAGAGGUUGAUCGGCCACAAUGGGACUGAGACACGGCCCAUACUCCUACGGGAGGCAGCAGUAGGGAAUCUUCCACAAUGGGCGCAAGCCUGAUGGAGCAACACCGCGUGAGUGAAGAAGGGUUUCGGCUCGUAAAACUCUGUUGUUAAAGAAGAACGUACCCAAGAGUAACUGCUUAGGUAGUGACGGUACUUAACCAGAAAGCCACGGCUAACUACGUGCCAGCCGCCGCGGUAA
rnacentral:rRNA from 1 species